rnacentral:precursor_RNA from 1 species
AUGCACGAUAAGUAUAUCGCUUUAAACUGCACUUUAAUAGUAAGGGGAUGUAGCUCAAGUGGUAGAGCGCUCGCUUAGCAU